UACGGGGGGGGCAAGCGUUGUUCGGAAUUACUGGGCGUAAAGGGCUCGUAGGUGGCCAACUAAGUCAUACGUGAAAUCCCUCGGCUUAACCGGGGAACUGCGUCUGAUACUGGAUGGCUUGAGGUUGGGAGAGGGAUGCGGAAUUCCAGGUGUAGCGGUGAAAUGCGUAGAUAUCUGGAGGAACACCGGUGGCGAAGGCGGCAUCCUGGACCAAUUCUGACACUGAGGAGCGAAAGCCAGGGGAGCAAAGCGGG
rnacentral:rRNA from 1 species